rnacentral:rRNA from 1 species
UACGUAGGAGGCGAGCGUUGUCCGGAGUUACUGGGCGUAAAGGGUGCGUAGGCGGCUUUUUAAGUUUGGUGUGAAAUCUCCCGGCUCAACUGGGAGGGUGCGCCGAAUACUGAGAGGCUAGAGUGUGGGAGAGGAAAGUGGAAUUCCUGGUGUAGCGGUGAAAUGCGUAGGUAUCAGGAGGAACACCGGUGGUGUAAACGGCUUUCUGGACCAUAACUGACGCUGGAGGCACGAAAGCGUGGGUAGCAAACAGG